rnacentral:rRNA from 1 species
UACGUACGAGGCAAGCGUUAUCCGGAAUUACUGGGCGUAAAGCGUGCGCAGGCGGUUAUAUAAGACAGUUGUGAAAUCCCCGGGCUCAACCUGGGAACUGCAUCUGUGACUGUAUAGCUAGAGUACGGUAGAGGGGGAUGGAAUUCCGCGUGUAGCAGUGAAAUGCGUAGAUAUGCGGAGGAACACCGAUGGCGAAGGCAAUCCCCUGGACCUGUACUGACGCUCAUGCACGAAAGCGUGGGGAGCAAACAGG